AAAUUGAAGAGUUUGAUCAUGGCUCAGAUUGAACGCUGGCGGCAGGCCUAACACAUGCAAGUCGAACGGUAACAGGAAGCAGCUUGCUGCUUCGCUGACGAGUGGCGGACGGGUGAGUAAUGUCUGGGAAACUGCCUGAUGGAGGGGGAUAACUACUGGAAACGGUAGCUAAUACCGCAUAACGUCGCAAGACCAAAGAGGGGGACCUUCGGGCCUCUUGCCAUCGGAU
rnacentral:rRNA from 1 species